ACAGCCCGAGGCGGAAGCGGCGCCCGGGAAGAAGCGGCUGGACAGCGCAGCUAUGGCUGCCGGGGUUCCCUGCGCGCUGGUCACUAGCUGCUCUCCCACCUUCAGCGGAGACCGGCUAGUUCAACAUAUCCUUGGAACAGAAGAUGUUAUUGUGGAAGCGACUGCCAGUGAUGCUGUGAGAUAUUAUCCUUGGACCAUUGAUAAUAAAUACUAUUCAGCAGAUAUCAAUCUAUGUGUGGUACCAAACAAAUACCUCGUCACUGCAGAAAUUGCGGAAUCUGUCCAAGCAUUUGUGGUUUAUUUUGACAGCACACAGAAAUCUGGUCUUGAUAGUGUCUCCUCUUGGCUUCCACUCGCAGAAGCAUGGUUACCUGAGGUGAUGAUCCUGGUUUGUGACCGAGUGUCUGAAAGUGGUGUUAACAGACAAAAAGCUCAAGAAUGGUGUAUCAAACAUGGCUUUGAAUUGGUAGAACUUAGUCCAGAAGAGUUGCCUGAGGAGGAUGAUGACUUCCCAGAAUCUACAGGAGUAAAGCGAAUUGUUCAAGCCUUGAAUGCCAAUGUCUGGUCCAAUGUCGUGAUGAAGAAUGAUAGGAACCAAGGCUUUAACCUUCUCAGCUCACUGACUGGGGCAAACCAUAGCAUUGCGUCAGCAGAGAACUGUCACUCAGAGCAGCCUUGUUUGCCAGCAGCAGAUAGGACUGAAUCCCUCUUGGAUCAUCAAGGAGGUGCAUCUAAUACAACAGACACUCAGGUUGAUAGUACUGUGGAUCCCAUGUUAGAUCUGGAUAUUCAAGAACUAGCCAGUCUUACUACUGGUGGAGGAGAUUUGGAGAAUUUUGAAAGACUAUUUUCCAAGUUAAAGGAAAUGAAAGACAAAGCUGCGACGCUUCCUCAUGAACAAAGAAAAGUUCAUGCAGAAAAGGUGGCCAAAGCAUUCUGGAUGGCAAUUGGGGGAGACAGAGAUGAAAUUGAAGGCCUUUCAUCUGAUGAAGAACACUAAAUUAUUCAUACUAGGCUUUGACUAACAGAUUCUCACUCUCUCUAUGUGAGCUGCUACCCUGUUCACCUAGUUAUAGUUUGCUGAAAUUUCCAUUAUGUUGGGCGCCUGACUUAUUUAUAGGGUUCCCUUAAUUUUUGUUGUUAGUGGGGAGAUGAUGGAGAAAUCUUUUCUCUCUUCAUACAUUGUGAGGGAGUAAGGAAUAUAAAAGACAAUACAGAGUGAGAAUUUUUUCAAAUACACUUUUUUGUUCUCGGAACAGGAGUCAAAUGAAGCUCAUAGGUCUGUGUGAUUUUCCCAAGUGAGAGAAGAAGAAGAGCACCAAGCCAUUCCUUGUCAGUCAUUUAAAUAGCAUUUCCUGCAUCCACGCUUGAUUGCUACACAUCAGGAGUUUGUGUCCCCUUUCUGUAUGUCCUGGAUUUUUUUUUUCAAGGCGCUUGCUGCGCUGCACUCUGAUGUGCUUCACGGGAAGAAAGGUCAGAUGCGGAUUUGGUUUGUGCUGUAGUGUGGGGGUGAAAGGAGUCAAAUCAGUGGUCCGCUAGUUAAUUUCUAGCUAAACAACUGCUUUGCAGCAUUUUAUUGAAAAUACAGUGUCUGAGCUCAUGCUAGAGAGCAUUAAGAAACCAGUGUGAAUUUUUAGACUACAAUAUGAUGCAAAGGUUUCCUGCUCUGGUAGGGAUAAUUUGCAAGUUGUGGGGGGUUUUGUGUGUGUAAGAGGGAGAUCCUUAAGGAAUUCCCUUUGUGGGCCAUGGCAGCAGCAGAAUGUGAUGACAUACUGAGAUAGGUGGGUAAUAUUACCAUGAAGAGACUCUUUAGUCACUAGAGUCCCCUCCUGCUACUUGGGAUGUCACAGCUGUGUUGUCACACUUUAUGCCCUCAGAACUAUGCCCCCUCUUUGCUCUGAAAGCCAAACUGAGGUCACUGCUUAAAUAGUAAUACCAGGAGUAGCCGAGGUGAGAAGGGAUGUCAAACAUUAGGCAAUGAAUCCCUGAGUGACUGGUGAUAACUCCAGGGUUGGUAGCUCCUCCAAGGCCGAGUGGGUCAACUCCAGGGAAACUGAUCACCACAGGGAAAAUUUUCAAAGGAAGCAUGGAAAAUACAGCAAAUAAAAAUCCUUAUUUCUGUUUUUAUAGACACUUUGUAAUGCAUGUCAUUAACCUUCACUGCGGCAAGUCGUCACCAUUGCUCUCAGUUGGCACAGGGCACCGGGUUGCUUGGACUGUCCUAGCACGCAGACUGCUUCUGACCUAGUGUGAGCUGUGAGCCCCUUUGGUUCCCCGGCAGAAACACAUUCCAGGCCCCUUUGUGCACCACCUUCUAAACACUGAAAAGCCAGCAGAGGAAUGAAAUGCCCCGGGUGCUGGGUCAGAGCCACUCUGGGAGGGAAGGGGUCAGCGACUAGAACAUUCAGGAAGUGCCAUUCAGGGCAUGUUGGAGGUUAUCUUGCUUGAUGGUAUUUUUUUCCCUCCCUCCUCACCUUUUUCAAAGCUAUUCUAAAGGUCUUUAAGACUCAACGUUUUUGAGACUCCAUCAGUAUUUCCUUGAGGUGAUGUUGUUCACUUUGAUUAGGAAUGUAGGAAAACUGGCUCUGGGGUUGCAAAAUGGAAGGUGGAGCACAUUUUUCUUAAAAUAUGAAAGGUUUUAGAAAAUAUGAGGUCACAUGGUUAGGGAAAACAGACUAGAAAAGACUGAACUUGAUUGUGUGUAUUAAAAAACAGAUGAUUAAAAUAUGAUUGAUUUAUAAAUUUGGAGUAUCCAUAUGAUGAUUUGUUUUUUAAUAGGGGAUGUGGGAAGCCUUAGAUCUUUCACUGGAUUAGGCAUAAAUAGUGAAUAAUCUAAGAGUUCGUCACACUCUGUUUUGGACUCCAUCCUGCAGAUGUAUAAUAUCAACUGUUUUCAAGACCUCAGCUCUCUGGGGGUCUCGGCCCCUUGUAGGGGACGUGUGGGAUAAAGUAUCCAGUGAUAUGUGCUAAAGACCCUGUUGAGAACAGUGAUCCCAAUACUAAUACUGGAGUAAAGGCUGCAGUUUAGAGUGACCUUCAUGCUGCCACAAGGUUUCGUGAACUGUCCAUCUGGGAUUUAAAAUGUGAGAUGGUUUUUUUGUCUUCUUGAACAUUUCUUUGUGUGAUACAGUGUCUGGCACAUAACAGGCUCUUAAUUGUGGUUUGGGCCUAUAUGUUUAAUAAUUUGCUGAAUAUGAUCACAUAGUUUGAAAGUCUGUAAGUGUUGGAAGGUAGGGAGAGAUAAGAAUAAACUUGUCCCUGAGAAAAUCAUGUUAUGUAAUAAUUUUAGAGUGAUGAGGACAUCGCGAUUUUUAUAAUUUUAAAAUAUGUUUUCCUGCCAGAGUAUAAGAUUGACAGAACCAGUUUGUUCUCUAUUUAUAGAACUUGGCCACAUCUAAUUGAAAGAAGCUAGAGAUUCAGGGGAGCUAGACUGGAUGGCUGAGUAAUAUGGGAUGUGGUUCAAACACCAUAGAGCAUGUCAGGCCAUCACUGCAAACUACUUUUAACAGGUGAAAUGUGAUAUAUGGAUAAUUUCAAGUUCCCACGGUGGAGAGAUGGGGCUAAACAUUUUUACCAUGACUGAUCCCCUUAACCUUCAGCCAGUGUCUUGACAAUGGCCAUCGAGAGAACACGUGGAAUGCUCCUUGCCCUGCCUUGGCCUGUGUGGAAAAACAGUCUUAGAAGAAUCACUGUCUAAGGGUAAGAUGAGAGCUCACAAACUAUUCUGAGCUUGAGUGUUUGCUGAUGUGGAGCUAAACUUAGCAAACAUGUGUCUAGUGUGGUCAGAGGUUCUGAUUCAUUGAACGUUCUGAUUGAUGGAGACAGAUUUCCAGAGACUGCUGUAAUGAGUUAGUUGCCCUUCACUCCCCGAAAUUUUAAAGUAGAUAGUUCAGCUAUCGCGUUCUAUCAUUUAAUGCCAACUCUUAUUAGAGGACUGUAGGUAAAGAAAGUGCAAAAAAAUCCAGUCACGUGGACUCAACUCAGGAGCUCCUUACUACAGGAUCAUUUUACAAACAACACCCUAUUAACUUUCCCAUAAUUUGUGUGACUUCUAAAGGUAGAAUGCUGACUUGGGCAGGGCAUAUUCCAGUUUAUUUAGAUUCCCCUUGGGGCUUAGUGUAGUGAUCCAUCCUGGCACUUCUUAUAUGUAAGCUCUUGAAGAAAGGGUCUUAGAAAUUUCCAGUGUUUCACAUUUGGGGGAUUACUUAUGCCUGUUAUUAACAUCUUAAUUCAUGCAGAUCCCUGUAUUCUGAAUUACCUGUGCUGCAUUAUGGUUCCUCCUGCAUCAGAGUGUCUUUCUCGAUUUCUGAGGUGUUUCUCUGAUUUGCCGAAUGAAGAAUUAAGAAGAGGGGUAAUAGCAACAGCGUGGGCUUUUUGUUGAAACCCCGCAGAGCCCCACUCCAGCUGUUAAUAUUUACAGUUCUACUUUGUUUCCUGUUGGAAAGGUAUUGAUUCAAAAUCUGGACCUAAUGGUUAUUACUGCAUCUUUGGAACACAGGUUUGGAAAGAAAUUUUCCUUUGAGACCUUUUUCUCUCUGUCCAUCUGUUUAUAGGCUCAGACCCCCUCCACAACUACACACACAACUGUUUGACCAGCCCCACUCAUUUUCUCCUUUGAAGGAUGUGACCAAUCAUUGCUUUUUCCCCUUUCUUUUUAGCAACCAGGUGGCUUUAUGCUACAAAAAUGUGGGCUAACGCAGCCUCUACAGCGCCAGUUCAAUCCCCGGCCACCAGCGAGGGUCCCACCAAAAAAAAAAAAAAAAAAAAAAAAUACGUGGGCUAAGUGAGGCCUGGGGUAGGAAUUUUAUGGAAACAGCAAUGCAAUUUAGCAGAGAGAAGAUUCUCUUCACCUGAAGCUCAAGGCUGUGGUCUAAACCAAUCCCCAGGAUGCCGUUAAUGGUGUUAGAAGUCCUCAAAUGAAAUUGAGAAAAUGCAGCUGUAAUCACUUCCAUUACCUUGGUGAGAGCUGAAGCAAGGAUUCAGGGUCCAACCAACACUGACUGUGAACCCUCAUGGUGCCAGACUGUGCCAGGUGUGGCAGAGGCUGCAGACUUGGCCAUCAAGGGCAGAGGAGGUGAGGGCCACACGACAGCGCAGAGACAUCAGCAGCGGGACUUGUGCAGUGGCUGGACAUGGUGAGCAAGCAACACACCAUUUAGGAGACCAGGACCCCCGCUCUCGUGUAAGGACUGGCUGGCACUGCGUGUUGCCCUUGGUAUUAAAAGGUCAGGCUGGCUGAGAAGUGAAGGUCAUCGACCUCCUCCACCGUCUAUCCCCCACCCAAACACACCAGAACGAGUCCAGAGCAGCCCUCUUGUGACAGCAGCAGUGGCGGUGAAUGACCACCGGGGUGAAGGCCUCACCUGAUCCGGAUCUUUCUGUGCACAUUUGUCUGCUCUUCUCACCCACUGGCGAAGCAGCUGAGCUCCUUACAAGGGUGAGUAAAAGCAUUUAGCCCUGGAAUAUUCCAAAACUCGAGGAAAGAUAGAGAAAAAUGAAAACUAAGCACAAGACCUGUGCUAUAGCUCAUUCCAAUACAUUUACAACGAUUUAAAAAAAAAAAUCAUCACCACCAUCAAUGAAAGGCUGGAACCAGGCAAACGUGAGGAUAAUGGAGACGUCUGCCAGCGGCCAUGCCUGCGUGUGCUCCUCCUCAGGAUGCCUGGAGAACAGCCCUCCUACCUGGAAAGCUCAAGGCUAGAGCUUCAGAAGCACAGGAUCCUGCAGGUUGGAGCCACUUUGGCGGAGAACAGUUUCUUCUUGGUAACGGUUUAAUAACCCACAUCUUCAGGGCCAUUGGAGUCCCCAAGACAGAGACGGCGCCUCACAGGGGAUAGGAACGAUGAGGUGAAGACAACUCCCUGGCAAGGGCUGACCCAAAUCGUCUGCCCAGAGGAAGGGGAAGCAGCUGAGGGCACAGGUCUAGACAGUCCCUACAGGCUGCUUCCCCUCUGUGGGCCUGCCUUCUCCAGCCACACAGCACCCUCGCCCAGGGUUGUGGGGAGCAGUGUGUGUUUACAAACACUUGAGAAACUGAAGUGCCGGCGAACUCUAUUCCAUAUCUUGCCGGACUCGGCCUUUCCCAUGAAGCUGCAUGUCCCUGCUCACGAGGGUGAGGGCAGGCCUGGCUCAUCUCUACACUCUGCUCUGGCCAUGGGGCCCCAGACCUGACCUGUAUUCCGCGCCCCAGCCUUUGACGAAGCUCAUGCGGAUGGUGCACAUUCGUGUCAGCUGGUAGACGGCCUCGAAGCCCUGGUUGACAGACUGAGCCAGGAGGGCGGCAAACUCCUGGUUGUUGAAGAUCUUCAGGUUGCAUCCUGCCAACAAAACAAAAAGUGCACUUGUGGGGAUGGAAGGAUGGACAAGUCCGAUGCUACCCUUCUGGCUAAAGGCAUCCCUGGACCACCUGGAACGUGACGAUGCGCACGGCUGGGGUGACACGGUGGUGGGUUACGCUGGCCACAAACUGCAUCCCCAGCACCAUGAUGAGGAUGGGGAGAUGGGGUGGGGGUGUCGAGUGCUGAAAAGACUGUAAAGUGGUUCCUGAGAACAAAGAGGCCAAGGCACGAUAUGAGGGGACAGGGAGAAGGGCCCCCCAGCACCAUCCACCCAGGCUCUGCCAGAAGUGUGCUGGGGCCAGGAGGAGGGAGAGCUGGGCCACAUUUUGGCCUCUGGGCACAAAGCUGGGUCGGUGUGACUUUCAACACAAACUGAAGGUGUGUCUAAUUCUCUAGGCAGUAAAACUGGAGACAGGCACAAAUAAAGUUUAAAAUAAAUCCCAUAUGAAGCUCUACCACCUGAGUGCCAGGAAUGUGUCAACCAGAAAAAUAAAGACAAAAGCACAUGCCAGAAAUGCCCCAAAGGUGAGCUGAGGUGACACAGACCCACACUGGGAUCUGCUCUUGCUGUACGAUUCUGGCGUGGUUGGCCACUUCCUCUUCAUAAGCCUCUGUCUCCAUAAAAAUGAGAGGCUGGCCUCCCAGGUCCUCCUGGCUCUGACUUUGAGCUCAAACCACCACAGCCAGCUCGGUCCUCACCAGAAAGAUGGGGGAGGGGUCAGGAAAGGAGCAGGCAGAAUGCCAAGGUGGCAACUGAGUUUCUGCUUCUCGUUUUCUCUAAGGGGAAGUGUGGUGAGGCUGGGCCACAGGGGGUUUGGCCCCCAGCAGAACCAAAAAGCAGAGGCGCACUCGAUUCCAGAGUUUCAGUCAGGCCUAGUGGCUUACCCUGGCUAAGCCACUUGCCACUUAUUAGCUAUGUGUCUGUGGGCAGGUGGCUUACCCUCUCAACUUGUCUCAGCAUGCCCCCUCACCUGGAGAGCCAGAAUAAGAGAAGAGGACUGAGUGAGCAGAGCUAUAAAUGUACUCUGAACGCAACCCUGCCAUGCUCUGAAAGGUCAAGCACUAUUACUUCAGACUUCUGCACUCUAAGUUGACUGUGCCGUGGACCAUUGUUCCACCAUCCUCUGCGAGGGCAGGAAAGGACAUGUCUCACGUGGUCACUGGCUUGACCCGAGCGCCCCUCUAUCAGCCAGUCUCAGUUCAUGUUCUGGACUGCACACCCAGUGGCUGCAGGCCACGUGAGCAGGCUGUGGCUGGGACAUUCUGCCUCGGUUUGUUUUUUUUUUUUUAAUAUUAAAUUUUUAUUG